rnacentral:misc_RNA from 1 species
GUAGGUGAACCUGCGGAAGGAUCAUUAACACGUAUCCAACGUUAAACAACCCUGUGAACCUUCAUUCCUGCUCUCCUCGAGCCCUAACAAAAGCAAUCCUUGGUAAAUCACGCAAACAGUUUGAUUCAAGGACCUCUCUUGCUAGCCCUCGUGGAUUUGAUGCGGUCGUCGCAACUUAGGCUUGGCUUCUGCAGGGCAGUUAGUGGGUGAAAGUGCCACUGAUUGCUUAAGCGGAUAACCGACACUUUGC